rnacentral:tRNA from 1 species
GGGCCGGUAGCUCAGCUAGGUAGAGCGGCGGUCUCUAGUAAGAGGUCGAGGCUCCAGACCCGUAGGUCGGGGGUUCAAGUCCCUCCCGGCCCA